rnacentral:rRNA from 1 species
CCUACGGGUGGCAGCAGUGAGGAAUAUUGGUCAAUGGACGAGAGUCUGAACCAGCCAAGUAGCGUGAAGGAUGACGGCCCUAUGGGUUGUAAACUUCUUUUAUAUGGGAAUAAAAUGGUUCACGUGUGGGCUUUUGUAUGGACCCUAUGAAUAAGGCUCGGCUAACUACGUGCCAGAAGCCGCGGUAAGACGGAGGGUGCGAGCGUUAUCCUGAUUUAUUGGGUUUAAAGGGGGCGUAGGUUGAUUGUUAAGUCAGUUGUGAAAGUUUGGGGCUCAACCGUAAAAUUGCAGUUGAAACUGGAAGACUUGAGUGAGGUAGAGGUGGGCGGAAUUCGUGGUGUAGCGGUGAAAUCCGUAGAUAUCUGGAAGAACAUCAGUGGCGAAGGCGACUAACUGGCACAUAACUGACGCUGAGGAGCGAAAGCGUGGGGAGCAAACAGGAUUAGAUACCCCUGUAGUC